UUAGCGGCGGACGGGUGAGUAACACGUGGGCAACCUGCCUAUAAGACUGGGAUAACUUCGGGAAACCGGAGCUAAUACCGGAUACGUUCUUUUCUCGCAUGAGAGAAGAUGGAAAGACGGUUUACGCUGUCACUUAUAGAUGGGCCCGCGGCGCAUUAGCUAGUUGGUGAGGUAAUGGCUCACCAAGGCGACGAUGCGUAGCCGACCUGAGAGGGUGACCGGCCACACUGGGACUGAGACACGGCCCAGACUCCUACGGGAGGCAGCAGUAGGGAAUCUUCCGCAAUGGACGAAAGUCUGACGGAGCAACGCCGCGUGAACGAAGAAGGCCUUCGGGUCGUAAAGUUCUGUUGUUAGGGAAGAACAAGUACCAGAGUAACUGCUGGUACCUUGACGGUACCUAACCAGAAAGCCACGGCUAACUACGUGCCAGCAGCCGCGGUAAUACGUAGGUGGCAAGCGUUGUCCGGAAUUAUUGGGCGUAAAGCGCGCGCAGGUGGUUCCUUAAGUCUGAUGUGAAAGCCCACGGCUCAACCGUGGAGGGUCAUUGGAAACUGGGGAACUUGAGUGCAGAAGAGGAAGUGGAAUUCCAAGUGUAGCGGUGAAAUGCGUAGAGAUUUGGAGGAACCCAGUGGCGAAGGCGACUUUCUGGUCUGUAACUGACACUGAGGCGCGAAAGCGUGGGGAGCAACAGGAUUAGAUACCCUGGUA
rnacentral:rRNA from 2 species